rnacentral:ncRNA from 1 species
GUCAAGCACCGCACCGGCUGAUCAUCGGUGGCUCAACGGUCAUUGACGGGACAAGUUUAUAGUGACAGCUGACUAUUGAGCAGAAAGCUGCAGACCGGAACGGAGAAAGCUCCGUGGAGACUGUGGUAGAAUUUCUAUGCCCAUUUUCAGCUGA